GGCCGCGGGAAUUCGAUUAGAGUUUGAUCAUGGCUCAGGAUGAACGCUGGCGGCGUGCUUAACACAUGCAAGUCGAACGAACCUUCGGGUUAGUGGCGGACGGGUGAGUAACGCGUGGGAACCUGCCCUCAGGAGGGGGAUAACGGCUGGAAACGGCCGCUAAUACCCCAUAUGCCGAGAGGUGAAAGGAAUUUCGCCUGAGGAUGGGCCCGCGUCUGAUUAGCUAGUUGGUGGGGUAAGGGCCUACCAAGGCGACGAUCAGUAGCUGGUCUGAGAGGAUGAUCAGCCACACUGGGACUGAGACACGGCCCAGACUCCUACGGGAGGCAGCAGUGGGGAAUUUUCCGCAAUGGGCGAAAGCCUGACGGAGCAACGCCGCGUGAGGGAUGAAGGCCUCUGGGCUGUAAACCUCUUUUCUCAGGGAAGAAGACCUGACGGUACUUGAGGAAUAAGCCACGGCUAAUUCCGUGCCAGCAGCCGCGGUAAUACGGGAGUGGCAAGCGUUAUCCGGAAUUAUUGGGCGUAAAGCGUCCGCAGG
rnacentral:rRNA from 1 species